rnacentral:rRNA from 1 species
UACGUAGGCAGCAAGCGUUGUUCGGAGUUACUGGGCGUAAAGGGUGUGUAGGCGGUUGUUUAAGUUUGGUGUGAAAUCUCCCGGCUCAACCGGGAGGGUGCGCCGAAUACUGAAUAACUAGAGUGCGGGAGAGGAAAGUGGAAUUCCUGGUGUAGCGGUGAAAUGCGCAGAUAUCAGGAAGAACACCCGUGGCGAAGGCGGCUCUCUGGGACGGUACUGACGCUCAGGUGCGAAAGCUAGGGGAGCGAACAGG